CUAAACGAUGUCGACUGGUUGUUGGGGGUUUGACACUCUCAGUAACGAAGCUAACGCGUGAAGUCGACCGCCUGGGGAGUACGGCCGCAAGGUUAAAACUCAAAGGAAUUGACGGGGACCCGCACAAGCCGGUGGAUUAUGUGGAUUAAUUCGAUGCAACGCGAAAAACCUUACCUACCCUUGACAUGUCCUGAAGCCUGGUGAAAGCCGGGUGUGCCCGAAAGGGAACGGGAACACAGGUGCUGCAUGGCUGUCGUCAGCUCGUGUCGUGAGAUGUUGGGUUAAGUCCCGCAACGAGCGCAACCCUUGUCAUUAGUUGCUACAUUCAGUUGGGCACUCUAAUGAGACUGCCGGUGACAAACCGGAGGAAGGUGGGGAUGACGUCAAGUCCUCAUGGCCCUUAUGGGUAGGGCUUCACACGUAAUACAAUGGCGCGUANCAGAGGGCUGCUAAGCCGCGAAGUAGAGCCAAUCCCUUAAAGCGCGUCGUAGUCCGGAUUGCAGUCUGCAACUCGACUGCAUGAAGUCGGAAUCGCUAGUAAUCGCGGAUCAGCAUGUCGCGGUGAAUACGUUCCCGGGUCUUGUACACACCGCCCGUCACACCAUGGGAGUGGGUUUCACCAGAAGCCGGUCGCCUAACCGCAAGGGGGGCGCCGACCACGGUGAGAUUCAUGANCUGGGGUGAAGUCGUAANCAAGGUACC
rnacentral:rRNA from 1 species